GCUUUGUCUCAAAAACAAACAAAAAACUUUUUAAUAAUUUGUGACUUCUGGCUGUUUCCAGACAGAAAGGGUUAGCAGUCUCCCAUUUUUAACCAGGAGAGAGCAUUCUUGAGCAUCUGUAGGAAACAGGCACUAAUUAAGGAAAGGGCUAAACUAGGAUAGAUCUUGGAAGCAAAAAAUAGUUGAAUUUAGGAUACUUUGGCAGGAGUGAAACUGUUAAUCCCAAAUCUUCAAAUGUGAGGGUUUCCUAUGCAUGUGAAUUUAUGUGCACUUCUGAUUUUAGUACAGCUUAAUUAACACUGCAGCCCAGUUACUGUUUAGUUCAUUGCAUAGUACAGUACUGGGCUCUAGUUCUGGGUUGGAUCCUGCCAGUUACAUGAGCAAGGCACAUAACUUUUGUGGAUUCAUCAUUGGCACUAGUAAAUUAAAUGGGCUUAAGUAAGGGGAUAAAUUAAGUUCACUCUUUGAGAGCAGACCAGCAUAUCCCUGUCUGCUUCUUGCAAACUCAUUAGUUCUUUGAAGUUAUCUAAACAGAUUUUGAAAGUUAUGUUCCACCAUAGUGUAGCCUUCUAAAAUAAAGAUUACAUUUUAAAUUAGUUGCCACUUUAACAUUGAUGCUCCCAGAAGAUACAUUGUGUUUAUCCUGGAGUUUGAUGUAUUCCCUGACUCAUAGCCUUGGGGCUUCUUACGCUUCAACUUGAAAAGCAUAGGACCCAGAGGAUCUCUUAGGUCUCUUGCAGCUCUGAUAUGCUAUAACACUUGCAACAAAGGAGAGUUUGUUCUUUAGUUUUGAUAAAGUAUACCUUUAAGAAAUUAUAAAUCCAUAACAGGGAAAAAUAUGACUGACUGAUUU
rnacentral:lncRNA from 10 species